rnacentral:rRNA from 1 species
CAGUCGCCGCGGUAAUACGAAGGGUGCAAGCGUUAAUCGGAAUUACUGGGCGUAAAGCGUGCGUAGGCGGUGAGUUAAGUCUGCUGUGAAAUCCCCGGGCUCAACCUGGGAAUGGCAGUGGAUACUGGCUCGCUAGAGUGUGUCAGAGGAUGGUGGAAUUCCCGGUGCAGCGGUGAAAUGCGUAGAGAUCGGGAGGAACAUCAGUGGCGAAGGCGGCCAUCUGGGACAACACUGACACUGAGGCACGAAAGCGUGGGGAGCAAACAGGAUUAGAUACCCCUGUAGUCCCUGUCUCUUAUAC